AUGACCACCCAGACGUUGUGUGUGUGUCUUUCAAAGACCUGCCUCCCCCUCCCCCAGGCCCUUGACAAGAAACUUGGCUUGUUUAGAAGCCGAGCGAUGGCAGCCCUGUCCGCGCUCCAACACAUUCCCCGAAAACGAGGUGUGCGCCCUGUGGACAGCAAACCAUCUCCAGAAGACCUCUUUCCACACACAUUUUUGCCAAGAAUACAAAAACUUUCCACCUUUUUCCCUCCCCGCAGGCCCCCUCUCAUUCAAGUGAGAGGGAAAAGGGAGAAAGGAGGAGGCGCCCCCAGGCCGGCAGCCCCCACCUGGCCAAGGCCUUCAGCCUCCGGUGCGACCCGCGCCCCAGACACCCAGCGGGGAAAAGCCCCCGGUGCGCUCUCGCGCCCGCUCGGUUCCAUUUCCUACUCCGCCUGCUCCCCCGGCAACGCUCACCCCUUCCCGGAGGCGCUCCAAGGGGCCCGGGUGACCCUUCCUGCCGUGGGUCUCGGCCGCUCCAGCCCUCUCCCUCCCGGCGGCGGCGCGGGGUCCUACCUGGAGCUAGUGCGGCGCGGCUGCUGCCCGGUGGCGCGGGGACUGCGCGGAGACUGGCGGGGCUGGCGGGCUAGGCGCACUGCGGGUGAGCCCCGAAGGCGGUGUCGGCCAGGGGGCGCUCGCCACCCUCCCCGCCGACCCGGUCUCCCGGGACCCGGGACCCCUGGCCAGGGACGCGAGCUCUAUCCCCAGCCGAGCGUCCCCGGCCCCGCGCCCCGGCUCCCACCCCCGGCCUCCUUACCGGCCACCUGUCGUCCAGCUGCGACCUGGAGCGGGGAAGCGGCAAUCGGGAGCCCAGGACGGACCUGGGAGGGCGGCGAGGCCCAGCAGGAGCGCCCCGGCCCCAGCCACAUUCUCAGCGCCAGGAAAAGGAGUGAGAGGCCACAGGUGUCCCUCGCCAAACUAAAAACGAAACGGCGCUCCAGCAGAUUGGGUGGAAACAGCUGUGUCUGUUUUCUCUGUUUUUAG
rnacentral:lncRNA from 1 species